rnacentral:lncRNA from 1 species
GUCAGGAUGAGGUAGGAAGCUGGGUGGAGAAACACAGGCUGGGAGGAAAAAGUCCGAAAUCUCAAAUGGAGACAGCAGUAAAAAGUAAUGACUAACACAUUUCCCAACUUGGAAAGCCAGCCACAGCCCACACCAGGGCCAAACUUGGAGCUCUGCUGUUCCAGGGAGGUUGGAGCAGGCUCAUGGACAGGAAAGGAUUGUGCGAGCGACCGCCGCUUGCUGGCUUAGGAACUGUGCUCUCUGAAAAGUGAAAUGGACCCUGAAAGAGAAAGGAAAGGAUGGUUCUGCCUAAAUUCUCCACAGAGAUGAAGGUCUUCUAUGUCUACAAUAUAUUCAUCCACUUACAACCGCUCAAUAGCAAAAAAAAAAAAAAAAAAAAAACCAAAAACCAACAUCAAAGGAAAAGGAACCCUUUUAGGAAAAUUUGAUCCACAUCGCAGUCCUUUGGAGGUUGACAUCCACCGUGGCCUGCUUGCCUGUUCCUUCCAGCUUGAAUUCCUAGGAGCUGAGCUCUUCUUUGCACAAGAGUGGCUGCUAAACCAGUAGGAAAAGAAUGCGACAGUCCACCUCAAGGCGCUGUGCUGAUUGGACCAUGGGCCUACACAACUGGGUAAAAAUACAAUCAGCUGUUCAGAAAGGUCUACCCUGGAACGCCUCAUAAAGGACUUUCUUUUCUUUGGUCUUCUUUUGGAACAGUUUCUCUUGUCAAGCUAGCUCCAGGCAGAAGCAGCUCCAGGCAAACUGGGACAGACCGUUCUAUGACAUUUCCCACCUCUUCCACCUGGGGUCUUUCUUCCUGGCCUCAACCACCUCCAGCCUCCUCCACUUCCCCUACUGUAUCCUUGCCAUGGGCAAGGGUGUUGUACACAUUUUCAAGGGAAGGAGACAGUGGGA